UAAGGAAUAUUGGUCAAUGGACGGAAGUCUGAACCAGCCACGCCGCGUGGAGGAAGAAGGUUCUCUGGAUUGUAAACUCCUUUUUCCGAGGGCUAAGAAACGGGUAUAUCCUGUCGUGAAAGUACUCGGUGAAUAAGCCACGGCUAACUACGUGCCAGCAGCCGCGGUAAUACGUAGGUGGCAAGCGUUGUCCGGAUUUACUGGGUUUAAAGGGUGCGUAGGCGGUUUGAUAAGUCAGUCGUUAAAGGCAGCAGCUUAACUGUUGUAAGGCGAUUGAUACUGUCGGACUUGAAUUAUUUGGAGGUUGUCGGAAUGCGUAGUGUAGCGGUGAAAUGCUCAGAUAUUACGCAGAACGCCGAUUGCGAAGGCAGAUAACUACGAAUAGAUUGACGCUGAGGCACGAAAGUGUGGGGAGCGAACAGG
rnacentral:rRNA from 1 species